AACCUGCAGAUUCCUUACCCCUCAUAUCUCAAUAUCGGUCUGAGUGGCUGAAAAAGGAGGAGAUGUAUCACUGAAAUAGACUUGAAGUCUUUGAUGACAUACAAGUUCAUUUCCAAACACU
rnacentral:snoRNA from 1 species